rnacentral:piRNA from 1 species
UCCUGCUGGGACCUGGCAAGAACUGC